rnacentral:rRNA from 1 species
GACAGAGGUGCCGAGCGUUAGGCGGAAUCACUGGGCUUAAAGCGUGCGUAGGCGGACUGAUAAGUACCUUGUGAAAUCCCACGGCUUAACCGUGGAACUGCUUGGUAUACUGUCGGUCUUGAGCCAGCUAGAGGUUACCGGAACAAAUGGUGGAGCGGUGAAAUGCGUAGAGAUGCGGCGGAACACCGAUGGCGAAGGCAGCCCCCUGGGCUGAGAUUGACGCUCAGGCACGAAAGCGUGGGGAGCAAACAGG